AAAAAUUUUAACAACAGAAAGCAAAGGUCAGAGAAAGUCAGGUAGCCUCAGCAGCCCUUCUCCAGCUUACUUUGCUUCUGAAAUGAAUACGUAUCAAACCAUGUAUUUGUAGCCAAUGAGAAAAAUGCAAACGAGCAAGACUCUGUCUUUGUCCUGUCUCAGGCCUUCUGCUGUCAAAACAACUUCACCAGGAAGAUAAGAGAGCUCCAGAUAUGAAGAG